CCUACGGGUGGCAGCAGUGAGGAAUAUUGGUCAAUGGGCGGGAGCCUGAACCAGCCAAGCCGCGUGAGGGAAGAAGGUACAGCGUAUCGUAAACCUCUUUUGUCAGGGAACAAAGGCGGGGACUAGUCCCCGGAUGAGGGUACCUGAAGAAAAAGCAUCGGCUAACUCCGUGCCGGCAGCCGCGGUAAUACGGAGGCUGCGAGCGUUAUCCGGAUGUAUUGGGGGUAAAGGGUGCGUAGGCGGGCCUUCAGGCCGGCGGGAAAAUGGCGGGGCUCAACCCCGCCGAGCCGUCGGAACCGGGGGCCUUGAGUAACGGAGAGGUACGCGGAAUGCGUGGUGUAGCGGUGAAAUGCGUAGAUAUCGCGCAGAACCCCGGUGGCGAAGGCGGCGUACCGGCCGGUCACUGACGCUGAGGCACGAAGGCGAGGGUAUCGAAAAGGAUUAGAUACCCUUGUAGUC
rnacentral:rRNA from 1 species